rnacentral:lncRNA from 1 species
AUAUGUUCUUGAUGCAUUUUUUUUCUCUGAACAUAAAUCGAAAUAGGUCAAGAAGAAAUAGGUGAUGAGCAUCAAGACAGCGAAAAGCCCCUCAAUAAGUCUAUUAGUUGAAUGCUGAACUAUAAUUAAAUACAGCACUAUGCUCUGCAAGACGAGAAAAUGCCCUCCUUAAUGGAUACACCAAAACGAAAAGAACUAAAGUUGUCAGAUUUUUUUUUGGGAAACUAACUAAAGUUGUCUGUUUGAUAAAUGUUCUUGAUGCAUUUUUUUCUCUGAACAUAAAUCGAAAUAGGUCAAGAAGAAAUAAGUCAUGAGCAUCAAGACAUCAAAGAGCUACCCAGUAAGUCUAUAAGCUUAAUGCUAAGCUACAAUUAAAUACUGCACUAUGCUCUACAAUACAAGAAUAUGCCCCCUUGAUGGAUCAACAAAAUGAAAAGCACUAAAGUUGUCUGAAUUUUUUUUUUUGGGAAACUAACUAAAGUUGUCUUAUUGAUAUAUGUUCUUGAUGCAUUUUUUUCUCUGAACAAAAAUGGAAAUAGGUCAAGAAGAAGUAGGUGAUGAGCAGAGAAACACGAAAGGUCAAGAAGAAAUAGAUGAUGAGCAGAGAAACACGAAAGAUCUAGGCAUGCAGAAGAAAACAGAAACAAAGAGGAAGAAAAAGGGAAAAAUAGGUGAUGAGCAUCCAGACACCAUAAAAAAAUUGGGUAUGAUCGGAUUGAGCUAUGGAUUUUCGUUAGGUAUGUCAAGCGAAGAGCUCCCCAGUAUAUCUAUAAGCUGAAUGCUGAGCUACAAUUAAAUACUACACUAUGCUCUGCAAUACGAGAAUAUGCCCUCCUUGAUCGAUACACCAAAACGAAAAGAACUAAAGUUGUCUGAUUUUUUUUUUUUGGAUACUAACUAAUGUUGUAUGAUUGAUAUAUGUUCUUGAUGCAUUUUUUUUCUCUGAACAUAAAUCCAAAUAGGUCAAGAAGAAAUAGGUGAUGAGCAUCAAGAUAGCGAAGAGCCCCUCAGUAAGUCUAUAAGCUGAAUGCUGAACUAUAAUUAAAUACUGCACUAUGCUCUGCAAUACGAGAAUAUGCCCUCCUUGAUGGAUACACCAAAACGAAAAGAACUAAAGUUGUCAGAUUUUUUUUUUGGGAAACUAACUAAAGUUGUCUGUUUGAUAAAUGUUCUUGAUGCAUUUUUUUCUCUGAACAUAAAUCGAAAUAGGUCAAGAAGAAAUAGGUCAUGAGCAUCAAGACAGCAAAGAGCUACCCAGUAAGUCUAUAAGCUUAAUGCUAAGCUACAAUUAAAUACUGCACUAUGCUCUACAAUAUGAGAAUAUGCCCCCUUGAUGGAUACACCAAAAUGAAAAGCACUAAAGUUGUCUGAAAUUUUUUUUUUUUUUGGGAAACUAACUAAAGUUGUCUUAUUGAUAUAUGUUCUUGAUGCAUUGUUUUCUCUGAACAAAAAUGGAAAUAGGUCAAGAAGAAGUAGGUGAUGAGCAGAGAAACACAAAAGGUCAAGAAGAAAUAGAUGAUGAGCAGAGAAACACGAAAGAUCUAGGCAUGCAGAAGAACAGAGAAACAAAGAGGAAGAAAAAGGAAAAAAUAGGUGAUGAGCAUCCAGACACCGUAAAACAAUUGGGUAUGAUCGGAUUGAGCUAUGGAUUUUCGUUAGGUAUGUCAAGCGAAGAGCUCCCCAGUAAGUCUAUAAGCUGAAUGCUGAGCUACAAUUAAAUACUGCACUAUACUCUGCAAUACGAGAAUAUGCCCUCCUUGAUCGAUACACCAAAACGAAAAGAACUAAAGUUGUCUGAUUUUUUUUUUUGGGAAACUAACUAAUGUUGUAUGAUUGAUAUAUGUUCUUGAUGCAUUUUUUUUCUCUGAACAUAAAUCGAAAUAGGUCAAGAAGAAAUAGGUGAUGAGCAUCAAGAUAGCGAAGAGCUCCCGAGUAAGUCUAUAAGCUGAAUGCUGAGCUACAAUUAAAUACUGCACUAUGCUCUACAAUACGAGAAUAUGCCACCCUUUAUGCAUACACCAAAAUGAAAAGAACUAAAGCUGUCUGAUUUUUUUGUGUUUUGGGAAACUAACUAUUGUCAGAUUGAUAUAUGUUCUUGAUGCAUUGUUUUCUCUGAACGUAAAUCGAAAUAGGUCAAGAAGAAAUAGGUGAUGAGCAGAGAAACACGAAAGGUCAAGAAGAAAUAGGUGAUGAGCAGAGAAACACGAAAGAUCAAGGCAGGCGGAAGAACACAGAAACAAAGAAGAAGAAAAAGGAAAAAAUAGGUGAUGAGAAUCCGGACACUGUCAAAAAAUUGGGUAUGUUCGGAUUGAACUAUGGAUUUCCGUUGGAUAUGUCUAGCGAAGAGUUCCCAAGUAAGUUUAUAAGCUGAAUAUUGAGCUACAAUUAAAUACUGCACUAUACUCUGCAAUACAAGAAUAUGCCCCCUUGAUGGAUACUCCAAAACGAAAAUAACUACAGUUGUCAGAUUUUUUUAAUUUUUAUUUUAUUGGGAAACUAACUAAAGUUGUCUGAUUGAUAUAUGUUCUUAAUGCAUUUUUUUUUAUGAACAUAAAUCGAAAUAGGUCAAGAAGAAAUAGGUGAUGAGCAUCAAGACAGCGAAGAGCUUUCCAGUAAGUCUAUAAGUUGAAUGCUGAGCUACAAUUAAAUACUACACUAUACUCUGCAAUACAAGAAUAUGCCCUCUUUGAUGGAUACACCAAAACGAAAAGAACUAAAGUUGUCUAAUUUUUUUAUUUUUUAUUUUUUUGGGAAACGAGCUAAAGUUGUCUGAUUGAUAUAUGUUCUUGAUGCAAUUUUUUCUCUGAACAUAAAUUGAAAUAGGUGAUGAGCAUCAAGACAACGAAGUGCUCCCCAGUAAGUCUAUAAGCUGAAUGCUAAGCUACAAUUAAAUAUUGCACUAUGCUCUGCAAUACGCGAAUAUGCCCCCUUGAUGGAUAUAGACCAAAAUGAAAAGCACUAAAGUUAUCUGAUUUUUUUUUUUGGGAAAAUAACUAAACUUAUUUUAUUGAUAAUUGUUCUUGAUGCAUUUUUUUCUCCGAACAUAAAUUGAAAUAGGUCAAGAAGAAAUAGGUCAUGAGCACCAAGACAGCGAAAAGCUCCCCAGUAAGUCUAUAUGCUGAAUGUUGAGCUACAAUUAAAUACUGCACCAUGCUCUGCAAUAUGAGAAUAUGUCUUCCUUAAUGGAUACACCAAAACGGAAAGAACUAAAGUUGUCUGAUUUUUUUUUUUUGGGAAACUAACUAAAGUUGUUUGAUUGAUAUAUGUUCUUGAUGCAUUUUUUUCUCUGAACAUAAAUCGAAAUAGGUCAAGAAGAAAUAGGUGACGAGCAGAGAAACACGAAAGGUCAAGAAGAUAUAGGUGAUGAGAAGAGAAACACGAAAGAUCAAGGCAGGCGGAAGAACACAGAAACAAAGAGGAAGAAAAAGGAAAAACUAGGUGACGAGCUUCCAUACACCCUCAAAAACUUGGGUACGCUCGGAUUGAGCUAUGGAUUUUCGUUGGGUAUGUCAAGCAAAGAGCUCCCUAAUAAGUCUAUAAGCUGAAUACUGAGCUACAAUUAAAUAUUGCACUAUGCUCUGCAAUACGAGAAUAUGCCCCCUUGAUCGAUACACCAAAACGAAAAGAACUAAAGUUGUGUGAUUUUUUUGUUUGUUUUUGGGAUACUAACUAAAGUUGUCUGAUUGAUAUACGUUCUUGAUGCAUUUUUUUUCUUUGAACAUAAAUCGAAAUAGGUCAAGAAGUAAUAGGUGAUGAGCAUCAAGACAGCGAAGAGCUCCUCAGUAAGUCUAUAAUCUGAAUGCUGAGCUAUAAUUAAAUACUCUACUAUGCUCAGCAAUACGAGAAUAUGCCCUCCUUGAUGGAUACACCAAAACGAAAAGAACUAAAGUUGUCUGAUUUUUUUGGGAAACUAACUAAAGUUGUCUGAUUGAUAAAUGUUCUUGAUGCAUUUUUUUCCCUGAACAUAAAUCGAAAUAGGUCAAGAAGAAAUAGGCCAUGAGCAUCAAGACAGCGAAGAGCUACCCAGUAAGUCUAUAAGCUGAAUACUAAUGGAUACACCAAAACAAAAAGCACUAAAGUUGUCUGAAUUAUUUUUUUUGGGAAACUAACAAAAGUUGUCUUAUUGAUAUAUGUUCUUGACGCAUUUUUUUCUCUGAACAAAAAUCGAAAUAGGUAAAGAAGAAGUAGGUGAUGAGCAGAGAAACACGAAAGGUCAAGAAGAAAUAGGUGAUGAGCAGAGAAACACGAAAGCUCAAGGCAGGCAGAAGAACACAGAAACAAAGAGCAAGAAAAAGGAAAAAAUAGGUGUUGAGCAUCCAAACACCGUAAAAACAUUGGGUAUGCUCGGAUUGAGCUAUGGAUUUUCGUUAGGUAUGUCGAGCGAAGUGCUCCCCAAUAAGUCUAUAAGCUGAAUGCUAAGCUACAAUUAAAUACUGCACUAUGCUCCACAAUAUGAGAAUAUGCCAUCCUUGAUCGAUACACCAAAACGAAAAGAACUAAAGUUGUCUGAUUUUUUUUUUUUGGAUACUAACUAAAGUUGUAUGAUUGAUAUAUGUUCUUGAUGCAUUUUUUUUCUCUGAACAUAAAUCGAAAUAGGUCAAGAAGAAAUAGGUGAUGAGCAUCAAGAUAGCGAAGAGCUCCCGAGUAAGUCUAUCAGCUGAAUGCUGAGCUACAAUUAAAUACUGCACUAUGCUCUACAAUACGAGAAUAUGUCACCCUUUAUGGAUACACCAAAACGAAAAGAACUAAAGCUGUCUGAUAUUUUUUUUUUUUUGGGAAACUAACUAAAGUUGUUAGAUUGAUAUAUGUUCUUGAUGCAUUGUUUUCUCUGAACAUAAAUCAAAAUAGGUCAAGAAGAAAUAGGUGAUGAGCAAAGAAACAUGAAAGGUCAAGAAGAAAUAGGUGAUGAGCAGAGAAACACGAAAGAUCAAGGCAGGCGGAAGAACACAGAAACAAAGAAGAAGAAAAAGGAAAAAAUAGGUGAUGAGAAUCCGGACAUUGUAAAAAAAUUGGGUAUGUUCGGAUUGAGCUAUGGAUUUCCGUUGGAUAUGUCAAGCGAAGAGCUCCCCAGUAAGUCUAUAAGCUGAAUGUUAAGCUACAAUUAAAUGCUGCAUUAUACUCUGCAAUACAAGAAUAUGCCCUUCUUGAUGGAUACUCCAAAACGAAAAUAACUACAGUUGUCUGAUUUUUUUAUUUUUUAUUUUUUUGGGAAACUAACUAAAGUUGUCUUAUUGAUAUAUGUUUUUGAUGCAUUUUUUUCUCUGAACAUAAAUCGAAAUAGGUCAAGAAGAAAUAGGUGAUGAGCAGAGAAACACGAAAGGUCAAGAAGAAAUAGGUGAUGAGCAGAGAAACACUAAAGAUCAAGGCAGGCAGAAGAACACAGAAACAACGAGGAAGAAAAAGGAAAAAAUAGGUGAUGGGAAUCCGAACACCGUAAAAAAAUUAGGUAUGUUCGGAUUGAGCUAUGGAUUUCCGUCGGAUAUGUCAAGCGAAGAGCUCCCCAGUAAGUCUAUAAGCUGAAUGCCGAGCUACAAUUAAAUACUGCACUAUGCUUUGCAAUACGAGAAUAUGCCCUCCUUGAUGGAUACACCAAAAUGAAAAGAACUAAAGUUGUCUGAUUUUUUUUUUGGGAAACUAACAAAAGGUGUCCGACUGAUAUAUGUUCUUGAUGCAUUUUUUUCUCCGAUCAUAAAUCAAAAUAGGUCAAGAAGAAAUAGGUGAUGAGCAUCAAGACAAUGAAGAGCUUCCCAGUAAGUUUAUAAGCUGAAUGCUGAGCUACAAUUAAAUACUGCACUAUGCUCUGCAACACAAGAAUAUGCCUUCCUCGAUGGAUACACCAAAACGAAAAGAACUAAAUCUAUCUGAUUUUUUAUUUUUUUGGGUAACUAACGAAAGUUAUCUAAUUGAUAUAUGUUCUUGAUGCAUUUUUUUCUCUGAACAUAAAUCGAAAUAGGUCAAGAAGAAAUAGGUGAUGAGCAGAGGAACACAAAAGGUCAAGAAGAAAUAGAUGAUGAGCAAAGAAACACGAAAGAUCAAGGCAGGCGGAAGAACACAGAAACAAACAGGAAGAAAAAAGAAAAAAUAAGUGAUGAGCAUCCAAACGCCGUCAAAAAAUUGGGUAUGUUCGGAUUGAGCUAUGGAUUUCCGUUGGGUAUGUCAAGCAAAGAGCCCCCCAAUAAGUAUAUAACUUGAAUGCGGUGCUACAAUUAAAUACUGCAUUAUGCUCUGCAAUAUGAGAAUAUGCCCUCCUUGAUUGAUACACCAAAAUGAAAAGAACUGAAGUUUUCUGAUUGAUAUAUGAUCUUGAUGCAUUUUUUUUUCUUUGAACAUAAAUCGAAAUAGGUCAAGAAGAAAUAGUUGAUGAGCAUCAAGACAGCAAAGAGCUCCCUAGUAAGUCUAUAAGCUGGAUGCUAAGCUACAAUUAAAUACUGGACUAUGCUCUGCAAUACGGGAAUAUGCCUUCCUUGAUGGAUACACCAAAACGAAAAGAACUAAAGUUGUCUGAUUUUUUUUUUUUGGGAAACUAAGUAAAGUUGUCUAAUUGAUAUAUGUUCUUGAUGCAUUUUUUUCUCUCAACAUAAAUCGAAAUAGGUCAAGAAGAAACACGUGAUGAGCAGAGAAACACGAAAGAUGAAGGCGGGCGGAAGAACACUGAAACAAAGAGGAAGAAAAAGGAAAAAAUGGGUGAUAAGCAUCCAGACAAUGUCAAAAAAUUGGGUAUGUUCGGAUUGAGCUAUGGAUUUCCGUUGGGUAUGUCAAGCGAAGUGCUCCCUAGUAAGUCUAUAAGCUGAAUGCUGAGCUACAGUUAAAUACUGCAUCAUGCUCUGCAAUAUGGGAAUAUGCCCUCCUUGAUCGAUACACCAAAACGAAAGAAGCUAAAGUUGUUUGAUUUUUUUUUUUGUGGGAAACUAACUAAAGUUGUCUGAUUGAUAUAUGUUCUUGAUGCAUUUUUUUCUCUGAACAUAAAUCGAAAUAGGUCAAGAAGAAAUAGGUGAUGAGCAUCAAGACAACAAAGAGCUCCCCAGUAAGUCAAUAAGCUGAAUGCUGAGCUACAAUUAAAUACUGCACUAUGCUCUGCUAUACGAGAUUAUGCCUUCCUUGAUGGAUACACCAAAAUGAAAAGAAAUAAAGUGGUUUGAUUUUUUUUUUUUGGAAACUAACUAAUGUUGUCUGAUUGAUAUAUGUUCCUAAUGCAUUUUUUACUCUGAACAUAAAUUGAAAUAGGUCAAGAAGAAAUAGGCGAUGAGCAUCAAGACAGCGAAGAGCUCCCCAGUAAGUCUAUUUGCUAAAUGCUGAGCUACAAUUUAAUACUGCACUAUGCUCUGCCCUCCUUGAUGGAUACACCAAAACGAAAAUGACUAAAGUUGUCUGAUUUUUUAUUUUUGGGAAACUAACUAAAGUUGUCAGAUUGAUAUAUGUUCUUGAUGCAUUUUUUUCUCUGAACAUAAAUCGAAAUAGGUCAAGAAGAAAUAGGUGAUGAGCAGAGAAAAACAAUGGAUGAAGGCAGGCGGAAGAACACAGAAACAAAGAGGAAGAAAAAGGAAAAAAUAGGUGACGAGCAUCCAGACACUUUAAAAAAAUUGAGUAUGUUCGGAUUGAGCUAUGGAUUUCCGUUGGGUAUGUCAAGCGAAGAGCCCCCUAGUAAGUCUAUAAGCUGAAUGCUGAGUUACAAUUAAAUACUGCACUAUGCUUUGCAAUACGAGAAUAAGCCCUCCUUGAUGGAUACACCAAAACGAAAAGAACUAAAGUUGUCUGAUUUUUUUUCUUUAUAUUUUUUAUGGGAAACUAACUAAAGUUGUCUGAUUGAUAUAUGUCCUUGAUGCAUUUUUUUCUCUGAACAUAAAUCGAAAUAGGUCAAGAAGAAAUAGGCGAUGAGCAUCAAGACAGCCAAGAGCUCCCCAGUAAGUCUAUAAGCUGAAUGCUGAGCUAUAAUUCAAUAUUGCACUAUGCUCUGCAAUACGAGAAUAUGCCCUCCUUGAUGGAUACACCAAAACGAAAAGAACUAAAGUUGUUAGAUUUUUAUUUUUAUUUUUUUUUUGGAAACUAACUAAAGUUGUCUGAUUGAUAUAUGUUCUUGAUGCUUUUUUUUCUUUGAACAUAAAUCAAAAUAGGUCAAGAAGAAAUAGGUGAUGAGCAUCAAGACAGCAAAGAGCUCCUUAGUAAGUCUAUAAGCUGAAUGCUGAGCUACAAUUAAAUACUGCACUAUGUUCUGCUAUACGAGAUUAUGCCCUCCUUGAUGGAUACACCAAAAUGAAAAGAAAUAAAGUUGUCAAUUUUUUUUUUUGGGAAACUAAUUAAAGUUGUCUGAUUGAUAUAUGUUCUUAAUGCAUUUUUUUCUCUGAACAUAAUUUGAAAUAGGUCAAGAAGAAAUAGGCGUUGAGCAUCAAGACAACGAAAAGCUCCCCAGUAAGUCUAUUAGCUAAAUGCUGAGCUACAAUUAAAUACUGCACUAUGCUCUGCCCUCCUUGAUGGAUACACCAAAAUGAAAAGGACUAAAGUUGUCUGUUUUUUUUUUUUUUUUGGGAAACUAACUAAAAUUGUGUGAUUGAUAUAUGUUCUUGAUGCAUUUUUUUUUUUUUGAACAUAAAUCGAAAUAGGUCAAGAAGAAAUAGGUGAUGAGCAGAGAAACACAAUGGAUGAAGGCAGGCGGAAGAACACAGAAACAAAGAGGAAGAAAAAGGAAAAAAUAGGUGAUGAGCAUCCAUACACUUUCAAAAAGUUGGGUAUGUUCGGAUUGAGCUAUGGAUUUCCGUUGGGUAUGUCAAGCGAAGAGCUCCUUAGUAAGUCUAUAAGCUGAAUGCUGAGCUACAAUUAAAUAAUGCACUAUGUUCUGCAAUAUGAGAAUAAGCCCUCCUUCAUGGAUACACCAAAAUGAAAAGAACUAAAGUUGUCUGAUUUCUUUUUUUAUAUUUUUUAUGGGAAACUAACUAAAGUUCUCUGAUUGAUAUAUGUUCUUGAUGCAUUUUUUUCUCUAAACAUAAAUCGAAAUAGGUCAAGAUGAAAUAGGCGAUGAGCAUCAAGACAGCAAAGAGCUCCCCAGUAAGUCUAUAAGUUGAAUGAUGAGCUACAAUUAAAUACUGCACUAUGCUCUGCAAUACGAGAAUAUGCCCUCCUUGAUGGAUAGACCAAAACGAAAAGAACUAAAGUUGUCUGAUUUUUUUUUUUUUUU